rnacentral:rRNA from 1 species
CCUACGGGUGGCAGCAGUGGGGAAUAUUGGACAAUGGGCGAAAGCCUGAUCCAGCAAUGCCGCGUGAGUGAUGAAGGCCCUAGGGUUGUAAAGCUCUUUUACCCGGGAUGAUAAUGACAGUACCGGGAGAAUAAGCCCCGGCUAACUCCGUGCCAGCAGCCGCGGUAAUACGGAGGGGGCUAGCGUUGUUCGGAAUUACUGGGCGUAAAGCGCACGUAGGCGGCUUUGCAAGUCAGAGGUGAAAGCCCAGGGCUCAACCCUGGAAUUGCCUUUGAGACUGCAUCGCUAGAAUUGUGGAGAGGUAAGUGGAAUUCCGAGUGUAGAGGUGAAAUUCGUAGAUAUUCGGAAGAACACCAGUGGCGAAGGCGACUUACUGGACACAUAUUGACGCUGAGGUGCGAAAGCGUGGGGAGCAAACAGGAUUAGAUACCCCUGUAGU